AACGCUGGCGGCGUGCUUAACACAUGCAAGUCGAACUGGAAAGGCCCUGCUUUUGUGGGGUGCUCGAGUGGCGAACGGGUGAGUAACACGUGAGUAACCUGCCCUUGACUUUGGGAUAACUUCAGGAAACUGGGGCUAAUACCGGAUAGGAGCUCCUGCUGCAUGGUGGGGGUUGGAAAGUUUCGGCGGUUGGGGAUGGACUCGCGGCUUAUCAGCUUGUUGGUGGGGUAGUGGCUUACCAAGGCUUUGACGGGUAGCCGGCCUGAGAGGGUGACCGGCCACAUUGGGACUGAGAUACGGCCCAGACUCCUACGGGAGGCAGCAGUGGGGAAUAUUGCACAAUGGGCGGAAGCCUGAUGCAGCAACGCCGCGUGCGGGAUGACGGCCUUCGGGUUGUAAACCGCUUUCGCCUGUGACGAAGCGUGAGUGACGGUAAUGGGUAAAGAAGCACCGGCUAACUACGUGCCAGCAGCCGCGGUGAUACGUAGGGUGCGAGCGUUGUCCGGAUUUAUUGGGCGUAAAGGGCUCGUAGGUGGUUGAUCGCGUCGGAAGUGUAAUCUUGGGGCUUAACCCUGAGCGUGCUUUCGAUACGGGUUGACUUGAGGAAGGUAGGGGAGAAUGGAAUUCCUGGUGGAGCGGUGGAAUGCGCAGAUAUCAGGAGGAACACCAGUGGCGAAGGCGGUUCUCUGGGCCUUUCCUGACGCUGAGGAGCGAAAGCGUGGGGAGCGAACAGGCUUAGAUACCCUGGUAGUCCACGCUGUAAACGGUGGGUACUAGGUGUGGGGUCCAUUCCACGGGUUCCGUGCCGUAGCUAACGCUUUAAGUACCCCGCCUGGGGAGUACGGCCGCAAGGCUAAAACUCAAAGGAAUUGACGGGGCCCCGCACAAGCGGCGGAGCAUGCGGAUUAAUUCGAUGCAACGCGUAGAACCUUACCUGGGUUUGACAUGGAUCGGGAGUGCUCAGAGAUGGGUGUGCCUCUUUUGGGGUCGGUUCACAGGUGGUGCAUGGCUGUCGUCAGCUCGUGUCGUGAGAUGUUGGGUUAAGUCCCGCAACGAGCGCAACCCUUGUUCACUGUUGCCAGCACGUUAUGGUGGGGACUCAGUGGAGACCGCCGGGGUCAACUCGGAGGAAGGUGGGGAUGACGUCAAGUCAUCAUGCCCCUUAUGUCCAGGGCUUCACGCAUGCUACAAUGGCUGGUACAGAGAGUGGCGAGCCUGUGAGGGUGAGCGAAUCUCGGAAAGCCGGUCUCAGUUCGGAUUGGGGUCUGCAACUCGACCUCAUGAAGUCGGAGUCGCUAGUAAUCGCAGAUCAGCAACGCUGCGGUGAAUACGUUCCCGGGGCUUGUACACACCGCCCGUCAAGUCAUGAAAGUUGGUAACACCCGAAGCCGGUGGCCUAACCGUUGUGGGGGAGCCGUCGAAGGUGGGACUGGUGAUUAGG
rnacentral:rRNA from 1 species